CCAUGGCGGUUUCUUACGUUUGCCGUAUGGUUACAUUACUUCACACUGCUCCAAACAAAGCGAUAAUAACGUGUUUCAAGAGUAUUACACUAAUUGUUGUACUUAUAAAAUUCGAAAAUGUUAACACAGCAUUUAGUAUAAGAUCACUUCUUGGCUAUUUAUAGAAGCUCGAACUUGGACACUAUACUGGCCACGAGCUAAGAACUGUGGAAUAUGCUCAUCUGGAAUAAAUACCAGUUUGUUUCUAAUAAAGUAAUCCCCCUACAGUAAGAUAUGAAAUAUUAUUAAAGUCUAAAGAGGGUAAAAGAAAUAUUUUAGGUAUACCUGUAAUACUGGGCAGUUACAUGGCAAGCCCAAUGCCAGAAAUGGCUCAGGACAUGGGACACCAGGUGGAAAAGGUAAUUCUGCACAUAAAUCUUCAUAGUCACAUGAACCAACAUUGUCAACACAAGGGACUUCAAUCCACAGGAACCCAACUUUCUUUUGAACUCGUACAAUAACCUUCACACAACCCAAGUUAAUCAUAAUCAAUAUAAAAACAGAAGUGUUGUCACACAAACUUUCAGUGGGGUUGUAAUGUCUCCUCUUAAAAUGGAAUCAACUGUGACAGUGACAUUCCCAGGUAUUGACAAUGGUUCUGAAAGGUCAAAUUCAUUUAUCUGGGCUAAGGCAUCAGGUCCUGAACAUGUCGACCAAUCAAAUUUCUUCAGCUGAAGAAAACAAAAAGAAGCAUAUUAUUCACAAUUUAGACAAAGUAUAAACUUAAUUAAAAUACAGGUGACAACAAUGCCCUUUUGUAAUUGAAGCUGCCAUAGUUUGCUAAUUAUCACCUUAAAAGUUAAUCCAGGUUUUCCAUACCGAACCACGUCGUCAUUUGCAUAUUUUUCGUCCAAUCGUUGAAUUACAUGCAUUUGACUUUGGGACCUUGAAAUGAAACGGCCAAGGCCAUUAGACAUUACAACAAGAAAUGACAAAAGGUAAAACACACAUUUUUUAGACAUAUUCAUGAAAGUUGAGACUAAAACGAGAAACAAUACGGCAAAGAGCCCACAGAAACUUCAAAAAGACUGUAGAAAAAUCAAAAUCUUGAAUAAGUAUGGUCUGCUGGUGUACAGUAAACAAAGAUUUAUCACGUGCAACGUUGCCUCCUCUGGGGCGAAGGCGGAAUUUCCAUUCCAUCUAGAUUCAAAAUGUUUACAAACAUAAACGAGAUUAAAAAAAAGAAAGAAGUUCUCUGUAAACACCAGUCGGACAAAAAAUUCCUAAAAACAAAUUCCAAAUUUCAACCCACAAUCUCUCCGAUGCUUUAUCUUGCAACUUAUCGUUAGACUAGAAGCAUAAACUUAAGAAAAAGCUAAAACGUAUUUGUAAAAAAGAUUUGUAAAUUUAACACCCUGAAUCUCGAAUUUCCGGCCCGUUUGGAAGUAUUUAGUGCAAUUUUUCGUCCCCGCACCCAGGCCAUUCAGCUCUGUUAUCACUUAUCAGUCCCCCAACGCUGUAACCCAGCUUUGUAGCAAAUUCUCUAUCUAUUGAUUUGCGAUCUUCCUAUGAUAUUUCUUAAAUCUUAAAUUAAAGCUAUUUGCUCAAACCAUUUUCUAUACCAACGAGUAUUUUCUUGUGGUAUUUCCCGCCAAGCUGUGGUGCGAUCUAGCGGCAGACUAUACAAACGACCAUUUGGACUACACUACACAAAUCAGCGUGUCUUGUCUCUUGUGUAGAUGUAGAUGGGGAUUGGCCCUGAGCCAAUCGGGGUUCGCAUUUCGGGGCGUCCCAUUACAUUUGCAAUUAGUCACCACUAAAGGAUUUUACCUCAAUAAAAUAACUAACAAAUAAAACCUGAAUACGAAUAUCAGCGGAAUGACUACACGAAGGUAUCACAUUGUAACAAAAAAGAAAAAACGGAAAGCCCACACUUACCGGUAACUACUAACUAAUGCCAUCUGGAUUGGAGUAAGCAGCCAUCUUGGAUUGAGCAGACUGAGCAGGCGGAGCUAACUAAUGCCAUCUGGAUGGGCAAUAGGCGCGACCAUAAACUGCAUAAAGUUUGAUCAAAGAUUCGAUUAAUUAGCCUCGAAGUGAUGGUGAUACUUGGUAGGUUAAGAGAGCAGUAGUUUUCUGCAUAGUAUAAUUUUCGUAUUUAUAUCUUUGAGGUAUCUAAUUGGCUCAAUUUGUAGACAAAAUUUUUUGAGUGGGAUAAAUGGGAUUCUAAGAAUGUUGGGGAUCUCUCCUUCUUGUCAUAAGAAUAAAUUGAAAAAGCAGGUCUUCUAAAAGACUAUUAACAGAAAGUUUUUUUUUGUCUGUUUAUUUUAAUAUUUAUUGAAUAUUUAACAGAAGAUGUUGAUUUUGUGUUGUUACCUAAAACAUUAUGGAACUUGCACAUUCCUUCACAUUAACCAAUAGCCUGGAAGGUUGUUGAUAAUCGAAUGCUCACCAAUUAUCUGUGGAUGGAAAUAUACUUAACAGUGCUCAAAUGAAACAAAUAUCCAGAAACUCAGAAAACAUGCAAAGAAAUUUGACAAAAAAAAAGGUACUGUAGAUAAAAUGACAGAAGGUCUUCCAAAAUCAGUUCAACAGCUAGUUAAAUGCAUGUUUUAUGAAAAAACUGUUGAAAAAGUUCUGUGAAAUAUUUUCAAAAUUCUUGAAACAAGCAACAUACAUCUGUGAAUGAAAUCAAGAUAUCAGACUUAUGAAGAAUUGCUUGUGGAAAAGCAAUCAAUCCAGGAAAGUAAGUUGAAUGGGAAACCAAACUUUGGUGGCUGAUAAAAAAAGGAACAUGGUUUAGAAAGAUGUCAUAUUCAAAUCAGCAGCCUUGGAUGUUUGCUUACAGAUUAUUUUCCACCAUUUCCUUACAGUUAAGUCAUCUUACUGGACAACAGCAUGGACCUCAGUUAUAAUGUUUACACAUUGUUUUGCCUUCAUAUCUCCCCUUUUUUGAAAUUCAUUUUCAAAAAUUUUCAUUCCACGUUAAAAUGGGGUUUUCUCGAGUUCCCGUUACGUUCAACCUGGUCCUUCCGGGCUUAACAAUCUGGGCAACAUUUGUCUCAUGAACAGCAUGUUGCAAGAAGAGCGACACUGGGCUGCAUUGAACAAGGUGAAUCCGCUAGGCAAUCAAGGUCGAAUCCAGGUGGCGGUGGCCAUUAAUAACAAUGGACGAGGAUAAUAGAGCAAAAGGGCAACGCGCACGUGGCAACGCCGCAUUAUAGAAGUGGUCUCAAGUCUCAACUCGCAAUCUUUCAAUUGGGUGACUCAUUAAGUUCUUCCCGAUCAACGAGGCUGCAUUCACGUUCCUGCGAAGAAUUCCAACAUGGAAAGAAGCAACUUCGAUCUGGUGAAUGUCCACCGCCGUAGCCAUCGAUGUGGAAGGAGUCGAAAGAAAAGUCCACAAGUAACGUUCCUGUCUGAUGGGGGCCUAUUUUAGCGAUCCAAUUCUCUUGGCUCCCUCCAGGAAAUAUUCGCGAUAUUUUUACCCAUCCACCAAACGAAAUGGAUACUCUUUAAAUGCGUUUCGUUGUAUAUAUGUUCCGCUUGUAUACCCUUUUCGAUUCGGCUCUUUAUUGUUGUCAGCACUGUGGUCGUCUCGCUUUUUACGCAUCAACAAUAACCAAUUUCCAAUUGCGGUGCAUCCGCGACAAAGCUUUAUUGAAUGUGUAUUCAUUUUUGUGUUGUGCGGAUUGAUAGGGGCCAACCCGGAUGCAAUUUGCUGCCUGCUGUAUUGAAGCUUUCGAUCAUUUUGAAUGAUCGCAGUUGCAAUAAUGGCUAGUAGAUAUAGUGCCAGUAACUAAGGGUGGUGGGGAGGGGGCUAGAGGGUUGUUUUUGAGGCUUGCAAAAAGGUUUUGUUGAUCGGUUCCCCCCCGACGGCUGAGUCACAUUGCGUUAUUACUAACUUUUACUAGACGGAUCCAUCACACAUCCAUCCGGAUGGUGGAGGAAAACAGCAGCAAGAUGUCAAACCCCAUUGAAUCCGCCCAACCGACUCUCCCCCCUCGACAGUUUUCAGGUUAUCGUCAUCACUUAUCGAUCAUUUCAUUUCGGGCGGAAUAUAUAAAAAACAAGAUUCAAAAGAGUGGUGGUAGUAGUCCAUAGCCGCAUUCCGUCAUCAUAUUAUGUUUUUUUUUUUCUCUUCUUCUAUUGAAAAGUGAAUGGCCAGAAAUUGAACUGGUGGCCGAUAGGUGGCUCGAAUAAAGGCGCAGACAAUAGGGAAAGAUGGGACUGUAGUUGGGAAUAAAAAAAAAAAGAAGAAGAAGAGAACAGACAAAAGCCGGAAGAAAAGCGAAAAUCCCGGAAGACUGUGGGGGAAGAGGAAUGAAGGGAAACGACAAAAGUAGAGAUGCGCCCCAUUGGAUUCGAUUCCGGUUAUGGCUUCUUCUUCUUCUUCUUCUCUUGCAGUCAUCUCUUUAUUAUUAUCUUUUCGUUUAUAUUCAUUUGAUUUUUCUAUGGCCUACAGACUCUUUUCGAUUGGAACCCCGGACUUUUUUUUAAGGCUUUUUCUUCUCUCUUUCAAUCUCUCUCAAGAGCUCCCCCCCUUUUUUCUUUUUAUUAUUUUUACGAUGGCAGAGCCGACGGUAUUUCAUCACUAUACGACUCCGGAUGAUCGGAGUUGCAUCCAGUAGCAAGCAGCAAACGGUUCGCUUCCGUUGCUGUUUGGGCGUCUGUUUCUUUUUUGCCUCUUAAUUCGAUUACGCUCUGCAUGCAUUGUGUCGGUAGGGAGACGCACGAAGCAGACACAAACGUUUCAUGUUUAUGGUAAUGGUUGCGUGUAAACACACGCAGUGAUCAACGGUUAUGUGAAAGAAUAGAAUGACGCUGGCGGAGGGAGGACGGCUAUCCUCAAAGACGAGUUGUUGCUCUGUUGGCCGAAAAAAACGGGAUCUGAUCCGGAAAUGUCAAACUGCUGUUGCGAUGUCUUUUCUUAUAUUCUUCCUCUGUUGUUGUUUUGGCCGGGACGGACCUUUUUUUUUUGUGCUGAUAUAAUCGUAUUAUUCUUAGAGGGAAACAUAAAAUCUUGUUUGAUUUGUGUA